rnacentral:lncRNA from 1 species
UGUCACAGAAGAUGGAUCAGCGGGCAGAUGGCCGUACCAUGGCUGGCCUGAGAACAACAUUUGAGGAAGCAAGUAAGCUUGAGGUUGAUUCAACUCCCAUCACGAUUCCUAUAAUUAAGAAAGCCCGCCAUUAUGAUGAGAUCCCCACAAUGUCUACCGCCGAAGUGGUAAGAAAUGAAGCCAGUAGUAUUGAAGCACCGGUUCCAUCUAGUGGUAAGAUAAAGAGGAGGA